GGCAGCAGUGAGGAAUAUUGGUCAAUGGGCGAGAGCCUGAACCAGCCAAGUAGCGUGCAGGAUGACGGCCUAUGGGUUGUAAACUGCUUUUAUAAGGGAAUAAGUGAGUCUCGUGAGACUUUUUGCAUGUACCUUAUGAAUAAGGACCGGCUAAUUCCGUGCCAGCAGCCGCGGUAAUACGGAAGGUCCGGGCGUUAUCCGGAUUUAUUGGGUUUAAAGGGAGCGUAGGCCGGAGAUUAAGCGUGUUGUGAAAUGUAGACGCUCAACGUCUGCACUGCAGCGCGAACUGGUUUCCUUGAGUACGCACAAAGUGGGCGGAAUUCGUGGUGUAGCGGUGAAAUGCUUAGAUAUCACGAAGAACUCCGAUUGCGAAGGCAGCUCACUGGAGCGCAACUGACGCUGAAGCUCGAAAGUGCGGGUAUCGAAC
rnacentral:rRNA from 1 species